GCUGGGUGUGGUGAUGCACACCUGUAAUUCCAGAGACUCAGGAAGCUGAAGCCAGAGGAUUGCAAGUUCAAGGCCAGCCUCAGUAAUUUGGUAAGCCAAUUAGCAACGUGGUGAGACCCUGCCUCAA
rnacentral:sRNA from 1 species